CGCCGUGGAAGCAGGAGUAGGUCCCCGAUCUUAAGACGUUCAGGUGACUUUCGUGGUGAGAAUGUGAGAAGGGAAAAGGGCCAGUGCUUUAAUUUCCUUCGUGGAAAGUGCUAUCGAGGAGCAUCUUGUAGGUACAGUCAUCAUGAACCUGAGAAGAAUGCAACUUCUAGGCGUAAUAGAAAUAAACAUGAUCUCGAAGUUUAUUCUCAUGAAAAAGUUUCUAGGAAGAAUGAAGGCAUGAAGGAUAUUUCUUCUAAAAUGUCAGAUUAUGAGCAUGAUGAAGUCAGAAGUCAGGGUGUAGAUCUUUGCCAGAAUGUAAAUGGCCAAGAAGCAGUGCAGAGAAAAGAAGAUUCUGGGAUGCAUACUGUUGUGUCUACUAACUUUGGUCUUGAUGGUCAAUCUGUUGAUAGCAAUCCAAAUAAAUCUGAAGGUCUCAGAGAAGUUGCUCCAGAAGUGCAGGAAACUUUAGUAGUCAGAGAGGUGCCUAAAACUUUAAUCCAUGAAAAUGAUGGUUUUCAGAAAGAAGUGAGUCCUCAUCAGCAACACUUGGUUGAUGGCUUCCGUGCUGAUGCUUUUAUACCAUCUGGUGAUACGCCUGCGAAUGUCAUUGCCUCAGAAGAUGGUUCAUUUGUUCAGCAAGUACAGUCCAAUGCUUCUGGUGGAGUUCCAGAACAAUCAGCAGACCCAUCUCAAGUUUUAAAUGUGUCAUUAAGGACUGAUUCAUCAUCUGAUAAAGGAUCAAUAAUUUCUGCUAGUGCUGAUAAGAUUUCUGGUAGUGAACCUUUGCCAUAUAUGUUACCAUCAACUCAGAUACAGUUAGCUACUAGUUCUGUUGAUCCAUGUGUCACAUCUGAGCAGCCUUCAGUGCAUGCUCAGGUUUCUAAAGAGUUACCCCCACAUAGUGGUUCCUCAGUGGAAUUUCCACUUCCUACCUACCAGUUGCCUGCCUCUGCCGUUUCCCAUUCUCAGAGUGAAAAUGCUGUGCAUAUGCCACAAAAUUCAAGGCAACAUGGUGCGGUGCAACAAAAUUCAUUCUUUCCUUUCCAAUCCACAAUUAGAGGAAAGUUUGAACCUUACCCAGCUCCGUUCCACACACCAAACUCUCACUUCAGUGUACCGCCAAAUAGCUGUAGGAGGAGGAGGAGGAGUCCUCGGAGGCGAAACGAUAAAAGAAGCCGAAGCCGGUCUCGCAGGUAUGUAUUGCUGUUACUCUCUGUAGGAUGCCCUGAUUACCUGCUAUUAACUUUAAUUUGAACCUCCCUAUGUUGGUGAGGAUCAAUUGUCUUUCUUUACAUUUCUCGACUUGUAUUUUGAUCACUUCAAUUAUCUCUCUGAAGAAUAUUAUAUUUAGAAUUUUUGUUGGUUUCAGCCGGUCUCCUCGGCGCCGUGGAAGCAGGAGUAGGUCCCCGAUCUUAAGACGUUCAGGUGACUUUCGUGGUGAGAAUGUGAGAAGGGAAAAGGGCCAGUGCUUUAAUUUCCUUCGUGGAAAGUGCUAUCGAGGAGCAUCUUGUAGGUACAGUCAUCAUGAACCUGAGAAGAAUGCAACUUCUAGGCGUAAUAGAAAUAAACAUGAUCUCGAAGUUUAUUCUCAUGAAAAAGUUUCUAGGAAGAAUGAAGGCAUGAAGGAUAUUUCUUCUAAAAUGUCAGAUUAUGAGCAUGAUGAAGUCAGAAGUCAGGGUGUAGAUCUUUGCCAGAAUGUAAAUGGCCAAGAAGCAGUGCAGAGAAAAGAAGAUUCUGGGAUGCAUACUGUUGUGUCUACUAACUUUGGUCUUGAUGGUCAAUCUGUUGAUAGCAAUCCAAAUAAAUCUGAAGGUCUCAGAGAAGUUGCUCCAGAAGUGCAGGAAACUUUAGUAGUCAGAGAGGUGC
rnacentral:lncRNA from 1 species